rnacentral:rRNA from 1 species
AGAUUGAACGCUGGCGGCAUGCCUUACACAUGCAAGUCGAGCGGUAGAGUAGCAAUACUCGAGAGUGGCGAACGGGUGAGUAGUAUAUCGGAACGUGCCCAGUCGUGGGGGAUAACGUAGAGAAAUUUACGCUAAUACCGCAUACGAUCUAAGGAUGAAAGCGGGGGACUCGCAAGAGCCUCGCGCGAUUGGAGCGGCUGAUAUCAGAUUAGGUUGUUGGUGAGGUAAAAGCUCACCAAGCCGACGAUCUGUAGCUGGUUUGAGAGAACGACCAGCCACACUGGGACUGAGACACGGCCCAGACUCCUACGGGAGGCAGCAGUGGGGAAUUUUGGACAAGUGGGACGAAAGCCUGAUCCAGCAAU